GAUGAACGCUGGCGGCGUGCCUAAUACAUGCAAGUCGAGCGAACAGACGAGGAGCUUGCUCCUCUGACGUUAGCGGCGGACGGGUGAGUAACACGUGGAUAACCUACCUAUAAGACUGGGAUAACUUCGGGAAACCGGAGCUAAUACCGGAUAAUAUAUUGAACCGCAUGGUUCAAUAGUGAAAGACGGUUUUGCUGUCACUUAUAGAUGGAUCCGCGCCGCAUUAGCUAGUUGGUAAGGUAACGGCUUACCAAGGCAACGAUGCGUAGCCGACCUGAGAGGGUGAUCGGCCACACUGGAACUGAGACACGGUCCAGACUCCGACGGGAGGCAGCAGUAGGGAAUCUUCCGCAAUGGGCGAAAGCCUGACGGAGCAACGCCGCGUGAGUGAUGAAGGUCUUCGGAUCGUAAAACUCUGUUAUCAGGGAAGAACAAAUGUGUAAGUAACUAUGCACGUCUGGACGGUACCUAAUCAGAAAGCCACGGCUAACUACGU
rnacentral:rRNA from 1 species